rnacentral:lncRNA from 1 species
GAAAAUGAAAUUACACAGCAUGUACUCUGGUGACUGACGUUUUGCUCAGAAAAAUAUAUUAUAAAGCUUGCUGGUGGCAAUUUACCCCAGUGUGACUAUCGGGAGCAGUGAAAUCUGCUGGAGAGAAGCCACAUGUACAUUUUUCUCAGUAAAAUAGUUUUGUGCUAUCAUCACCAGAGCCAGCAAUUCAACCUAAAUUCUGAGUGUAAUGGAAGCCGUUAAUCACUAUCAAGUUCAUCAUUUUUUUUUCAUGGCAAGUAAUAUUCAUAUCAGUGAUUGCUAUUCCACUAAGAAAUUCUAAAUGUUUCAUAAAAAUGAAACACCACAUAAUAAGAGACUAAAUCAUAUGAAACAAAAUUUUGACUUUUGAAUGUAUCACUCAAGGCCAAUGGAUGAUAAUUUCUCUUUAUGA